rnacentral:pre_miRNA from 1 species
CUUGUACUCCCUCCGUCCGAAAAUACUUGUCAUUGAAAUGGAUGUAUCUAGAUGUAUUUUAGUUCUAGACACAUCCAUUUUGAUGACAAGUAAUUCCGGACGGAGGAAGUACUUG